AACGCAAUGCAACUUCAAAAACGCAAUGCAACUUCAAAAACGCAAUGCAACUUCAAAAACGCAAUGCAAAUUCAAAAACGCAAUGCAAAUUCAAAAACGCAAUGCAAAUUCAAAAACGCAAUGCAAAUUCAAAAACGCAAUGCAAAUUCAAAAACGCAAUGCAAAUUCAGAAACGCAAUGCAAAUUCAGAAACGCAAUGCAAAUUCAGAAACGCAAUGCAAAUUUAGAAACGCAAUGCAGGAUCUGAAAUGCAAAAUAAGAAACAUUUGCGAUUUGCUGGAGAAGACUUUGCACAGUGAUCCAAAUCUCUGAUCAUCAAUAUAAGAUCUUGGAGAGAAAUUGAUGCAGCUCUGGACAAAAAGAAAUGUUGUGCAGAAGCUUCAGUCUUCAGUGUGUGUUUGUGGAGUGUAGUCUGUGCUAACACUGCUGUAUAUCGGUGUUGGACUGUGCUGGUUUUAGUGUUGUGCUCAUUUUAUCUGCUUUCUCUCUAAAGAAACUGAAAGGUUGUAUCUGGUGAGUUUUGUUGGGGGCUGAUGAUGGUCUGGUUCAGUGUGUUCUGAUGAUUUCCUGGAGCUGUGGGUUUUUCAGUAUUUUGGUUAUUUGUUUGUUUUGUUGUUUGUUCCUCUCCUCCGCGACGCCUCCUCUCUUCUUUUGUCUCCUGGCUCCGUGUGCCGCAGUGUGCCGGCGUUGAUGACCAUGCCGUCUCGGCAGUAAUGACAGUCUGUCAGGAAUCACGGUUAUUGUUGUGCGACAGGCUGAGAUCUGUUUUUCUCUUGCAGCUCAGGCUGAAGCGGCGCUGCGUCUCCUGAAGGUUUAAUGUCGUUGUUGCCGAGGCUUGAUUUACACCGAGACCACCGGACUGACCGGUGCUGCAGCAGCACUGACCACACCACUACAGACCUACACACCCGUCCAUCAGGCUGUAUUUAUUCAGAAUUAUUUAUAGAGAACCGUGUUCUCGGGAAUGAAAGAGCUCCAUUCAGUAGUGCUGAGUGCAAUCAGAUCCUUACAGCAAUAUUCUCAAAUUUAGUAGAAAGGCUUCUCUGGAGAGUAGAGCUGUUACUUCAACAAAAGCAGGAUAAACUCUUUUUAAUACCCUUAAUUUUAGUAGAAACAGUAAAUGAAUACACAGUUCUCCUAAUACACUUGACCCCUAUUUUUGUUGUAGCAGCUGAGAGUAUUCGGCCAGAUUUAUCGAUUUAUACAAGUUUGGAAACGCACAGAAAUCCAGAAACGCAAUGCAAAUUCAGAAAGGCGAUAGAAGUUCGGAAGCGCAAUGCAUGGUUCAUAAACGCAGUGCGCGGUUUGGAAACGCAAUGCAAAUUCGGAAAUGCAAUGCUCGUCACUUGUUGGUGGAAAAGAGGUACAUGUGUUCCUUCAUAAUCUGGAUUACUACUGAGUUCAAGCUUUAUCCGGUUCUGCGUGUGUUCUACCUGAUUUUGGAACAUUUAUGUUGCCGGUUCUACUCGAACAGAACCAGUCUGGUUUGGACCUGAGCUGCAGGUUACGGGAUAAUUUUUUCUGUAGACGAUUUGGGAGCUGCAGGUUUUAGUGUGGGUGUGGUGAAUCGCCGGUUGUCGCGGCAGCGUGUCAGACGGACAGGUGAAGUGCUGUGUGAUGGGAACAGCGGCGGCGGUGUCGUACCUGAAAGUGUGACGGGUGGUUAAAGUGUCACACGGAUCGAUUCCCUCCAUUAGACGUGGGCGGGGCUGAUGGUCUGCAGAAUCUCCGUCGCCCGGCCGAGAAACUUGUUCCUCUUCCUCUAAACCUCACUAAUCACUGAGAAAAUGAGACUUUUCCCUUUAUUUCCCCUAAUUUCAUCCCUCCAUUCCUACAGGACCAAUCUGCAUUACACUAAUCAAUCUCUCAGCCAAUCAAUGAGUCUGAUGGCUAAUUACUGUAUUCAGUGGAGCCGAGGCAGCAUUACUGAGCUCAUUAUAGCCGUUUAUUAAAUGUUUAUAAUAAAUAAUCUCAAAUUACCCCCGACAGUGAUCCCCAGCUCUGCUGCAGAUCUUUACCUCUGUUCUAUCAGACUGUUCCUCACAGAACCCGACCAGAACCGGUACAGAACCCAUUUAGAACCGGUUCAGAACACGGGUUAACCGGACCCGUAUUAGCAUUUACUUUAGUUUUUACAAAUUAAACUUUUCAUACUUUUUCUUUCUUUUUCUGACUUUUUAUUUCUUCCUUUGUUUUUAUAUUUCUUUAUAUUUUACACAUAACAUAACUACAACUUCUAGACAAACCCCAUAGUAACCAUUACAUACCAUCAUAUACAGUAGCAACAUCAUAGCAACCACUCAACAACGCCAUAGUUACCACCUUCAACCACUCAGCAACACCGUCACUGUCUAUCUGUCAUCUCCUUAGCAACAACCUAAACUCAGUAACCAUCUAAAAUUCCCUAGCAACCAGUUAUUAAUCAUUCAGCUAAACCAAACAACUACCAAGUAUUCACUAAAAAAAGUUAAUAGCAACCAUAUACGUACAAAAACCUUAGGAACCUCUAAACAACUUCAUAGUAACCAUCACAUACCAUCAUUUUCAGUAGCAACAUCAUAGCAACCACUAAACAAUGCAGUAGUAGCCAGCUUCAACCACUCAGCAUCACUCUCACAACUACCUAUCAUCUCCCAAGCAACACCAUAAAAUCAGUAACCAUCUAAAAUACCAUAGGAAUAUAGUAUAUAUACUAUAGCAACACCAUUACGAUUACGCUUAUGAAUCCAGUAGCAACCAUAUACAUAGAAACACCAUAGGAACCACCUCAGCAACAUUACCAGAGCCACCUAUCAUCCCCAUAGUAAUCAACUAUUUAUUGUAGCAAUGCCACAAUGACCACCAAAAGUAACUCAGUAACCAUCUAGCAAAACCACAGCAACCACCUAACAACCACUUGGCAGCACCAGCCGUCUAGUAACAGCAUAGAUACAACCUUAAAAUACCACAGCAACCACCCAGCUAAACCAAAGAAUCCAUUAACUCACCUGGCAACACUAUAGCAAUACCACAUCAACCACCUAAAAUACCAUAACAACCACCAAGCAAAACAGUUUUACCCUACAGACCAUGUAGCUGCAGCUUAGCAACUGCAGCGCGACAACGCCACAGCAAGUGCUUAGUAACCACUCAGCAACAUCAUAGCAUCCAACUGAAAUACCAUAGAAGCCACUUCCCCAAAAACGUUUUCACUGUGCAACCUGGAAGCAGAUACACACCACUGCAGUUCUGUGUUUCAUACAGGAAGUGUAAAAUAAAAGAAGCUGAGUGAUGUGAAUCUGAAUCUGGAUCUGUGUUUUGAUCCCUGUAGUGAUUAUAAAACUCUGUAUCGUGUUUUGUUUAAUGGAUUAAACCUGAGGGAAGGUUCUGGUUCUGAUUGGUACCGGCGCCGCUCUGUUCUGCGUGAAGGUGACAGAGUCCGUACGGGGACAGGAUCCGGCGCUACACGUUCCGACGCAUCCGUUCGCAGAGGCUCGUUAAGAGUGAUCCUACCUGCUGCAAGUUUAAUUAAAGACGCUCCUCAUUAGAGACCACAGACUCCGCCCACACCGUCUGUCCUGUAAUGAAUCUGAUGCGUGUGAUUUUAUACGGAAUCAUGUUGACGUGCGGGACGAUGUGUCCGCGGGUCGCUGGAGAUCCGGGACGCUUUGGGAACAGUAGCUGAAGGCCGGCUGUAGCCGCAGCACGCAGUUCAGUCCGCUCUGUUGCCGUGCCAAUCGUUAUCGCUGGCGGCGACCACAUGCUAAUAACAGCUAUUUGCGGGAAGGUCAGUGAUGGAAUGAAUAAAUAAUAUGUGACAUAUGGAGCAGCACAGUCUGAUCACAGAGCUGAAUUAUUAAUACCAACUCUGCUCUGAUCCAAACCUACAGGAGCUCAGGAUUAAACACCGCUGCAGUUCUGGAGCUCUGGAGUUUUAGGUUUCUAAUCCCAGAGUUCAGAAGGUCUGGAAUUUGUGAGGUCUACUGUUCUGGAGGCCCAGAGUUCUGGAAGUCUACAGUUCUGGAGGUCUACAGUUCUGUAGUUCUGUAGUUCUGGAAGUUCAGAGUUCUGGAGGUCUACAGUUCUGGAGGUCUACAGUUCUGGAGGUCUAUAGUUCUGGAGGUUCAGAGUUCUGGAAGUCUACUGUUCUGGAGAUCUAUGGUCCAGAGUUUUGGAGGUCGCAGUUCUGUAAGUCUGCAGUUCUGGUGGUCUACAGUUCUGGAGAUUUAAGGUCCAGAGUUCUGGAAGUCUGCAGUAUUGGGGGUCUACAGUAUUGGGGUCUACAGUUCUGGGGGUCUGCAAUUCUGGAGGUUUGCAGUUCUGGUGGUCCAGAUUUCUAGGGGUCUACAGUUCUGGAGAUCUAAGGUCCAGAGUUCUGAAGUCUGCAAUUCUGGAAGUCUGCAUUCUGGGGAUCCCCAAUCAAUUAGAUCAGUCAAUUAGUCCAUAAAGCCUUGCCAUGUGGAGCAUUCAUACCUAGCAACCAUUUGCUAGUAUCCACUUGAUACACCACAGUGACCACCCUAAAAAUCAUAGCAGGCCCCAAACAAUAAAAAUUUGUUUUGGCCACAAAUCACCUGCCUGGAGCUCUGAACCUCUUAAUCCACCUGAUGCUCUGGGUAGUGCAGUUUUCCUGUUAAAUGUAUGAAUAUAGUAACAUCAUGUAGACUCUGAUGGUGAUUAUAUAACACCAUGUUUAGAUUAUUUAAUGAAUAAAACCUGGAAUGGGAAACAUGGAACAUGUGGAAAGUUUCUGAUAUUGAACUGGAUCAGAAUGGCCCAGCUGUUAGUGUUUAAUCAGUGUGUAUUAUUGUAUGUUUUAUUAUUGUGUGUUUUAUUAUUAUUAUAUACAGUCAGUUUCUGCACAGUAAACCCAGUCCUGAGUUAAAGGGGGGGGGUCUGCAGAUAAUCUGUUUCAGGCUGGGGGGUCUGGAUUAACUCACGGCUGUAAAACUGGCCUGUAGAGAUUUCUCUCUGCUUUAGAGAAUUAUCUGUAGCUCAGUAAUUUUACUCUUUAUGCAAAAACGCUCCUUUAUAAUAUUUCUGGAAUCUUUCAGAAGUCCUUGGACGAGAUUCUGGAGCUUCGAGCCAAACUAAUCUGAUUUUCCUUUCUUUCCUUCUGGCUCCGAGCGAUUUCAUCAGUUUAUAAAAGUGCUGCUCGAAUAAAAUCUCCUCCUCUGACACUCUGUUCACAUCCCACGACUACACCUCCUCCGCUAAAUCACUACACCUCCUCUACACCACCACCUUCCACCUACACCUCCCAUACACCUCCUCCCCUACAUCACUACACCUCCUCUACACCACCACCUUCCACCUACACCUCCCAUACACCUCCUCCCCUACAUCACUACACCUCCUCUACACCACCACCUUCCACCUACACCUCCCAUACACCUCCUCCGCUAAAUCACUACACCUCCUCUACACCACCACCUUCCACCUACACCUCCCAUACACCUCCUCCCCUACAUCACUACACCUCCUCUACACCACCACCUUCCACCUACACCUCCCAUACACCUCCUCCGCUAAAUCACUACACCUCCUCUACACCACCACCUUCCACCUACACCUCCCAUACACCUCCUCCCCUACAUCACUACACCUCCUCUACACCACCCACCUCCUCCUCUACACCACUUCCUUUAAUUUUAGCAGAAACCGUUUCCUAAAACAAGGUUUUGUACAAGUUUUGCAUUUAAUUCAUCAUCUAAUAAAUAUCUGCACCCAAAAUAAGAUAAACGUGAUCAGAAUCAAUAACAGAUUAUAAAUUUAUCCUGAUAUUUAGGGUAAUUAUGCAGUAAUAAUACACUUGAGGUUUGUGCUAUAACGUGUAAUAUCAGCACUGCUGUGUUUUGCUCGUAUAUCAGUAAUAUUACAGGUUAUAUCAGGAAUCUUGAGUGUAUUAUUGUGAUUAUAUCACAGUUCCAUUAUCACUGUUUAUUGAAAGAUUUUAAAGAGUUAAAGAGGAGGAGAAAAUAGGAUCUGUUUGGUAAUAAAACUCCACCAGUUAAAAUAGUUCCAUUACUGCUCUGUUUGUAGCUGCGCUGUUUGGUUUGUAAGCGCUGCAUCGUUGCUAGGUUACUUAUGUGGUGGAGUAGUACAUUGAGAGCUUCAGUUACAGUGCAUUACUGGCUGAUAACGGCACUCAUAGAACGCCUCUCAGCCAAUCACAUUGCAGGGUCUAAACUAAGGUAUAAUGUUUAUUGAUCUACACCAGUGGUGAUUGCUCUAAGACUGCAAGGGAAGCUCAGCUUCCCCUAAAAUGUAAAAAAAUAAGUGAUUAAAUAUAUACUGUUGUGUGUACAUGUCACUGAUUAAAUAUGCGCUACACCGCGCUGAACUUAGUUCAGAAUCAGCUUCUUAUCACUGGUAACGCCGCGGCUUUCCUCUCACUCAUUCCCGCAGCUUCACAGCGCUGCUUUAAACAGUGCACAGACUUCAAUAGCGGAGCAAAGCGCGCGGCCAAACCAGACGAGUCAUUGGAUAAACGCUGGGCUUUGUCCCGCCCAUCGGACGCUCAGCGUCUCUGGGGGUCUAUGGGGCAGUGGGCUGGCCUCGGCCGGCCCGGACGCUCAGCUUCUGCAUGAUGAUUGGAUGAUCUGUCUGAGGCGGAGUCCCUUUUUGAUUGACAGCAAAAUAAGCGAAUCAGCGAUCUUUUAGUGUAAAAACCGUGAUGGGAGCAUUUUCAUUCUGUUCUGAGUUGAACCUGAGACUUUCCUAAUCCUUAUAGCGGCAUUUUCUUUAUUAAAAACUACUAGCGACAAAUCCAGCUUCUAUUUCUGGUGCUUUUCUGUAGCUGCUUGUGUUUGAAGACUGACUUCUGUCACUCUUUCUGACUUCUAUCACUCUUUCUGACUUCUAUCACUCUUUCUGACUUCUAUCACUCUUUUUGUGUAUUGUGUUAUCAUUAAAAUAAUUUAAAUUAAUAAAGGGAUUAUUCAAGGAAAUUAAAACUGUCCAAAAAGGAAAUAAAUUUACCUGCAUUUUUUCCUUUACCAACUUUUGCAAGAUUUUGCGUAAUGUUUUUUUUUACUGAUCAUUUUAUGUUUAUUCAUUUCAUAGCGUCUUUUUUAUGUAAUUGUUCAAUGUAAAGAAUGGGUACCUUUUUGUUGUGUGGUGAAAACUUGAAAAUAAUGCCUUUUGUUCUCAUCUCAGGGACAGUAGAAUUUUUGUAUGAAUAAAACUACAUAUGUUAAGAUGUAGGGCGAAAUUGAGCUUCCCCUCCUUGAAAGACCAGCAUCCGCCACUGAUCUACACAUACAGCAGUAGUGUGUAACUUGUGUGUAACUCAUGUGUAACUUGUGUGUAACUCUGCAGACGUCUCAGCAUGUAGAGAGUUGUAGAGGUUCCUAAUGUUUCUCCUGUGAUAAUCCAUCCCAUAAUAACUCUGAGUAAGUGGAGUAUAUGGUACUGUAUGUGUUUCUAUUAAAGUGGCCAGUGAGUAGAAUUACAAGGUAGGGUGUUUCCAAUAAAGUGGCCAGUCCAGUUUAAGUUAACAUGAGAA